rnacentral:rRNA from 1 species
UACAGAGGUGGCAAGCGUUGUUCGGAAUUACUGGGCGUAAAGGGCGCGUAGGCGGCCAUCUAAGUCAGACGUGAAAUCCCCCGGCUUAACCUGGGAACUGCGUCUGAUACUGGACGGCUGGAGUUUGGGAGAGGGAUGUAGAAUUCCAGGUGUAGCGGUGAGAUGCGUAGAUAUCUGGAGGAAUACCGGUGGCGAAGGCGGCAUCCUGGACCAAUACUGACGCUGAGGCGCGAAAGCUAGGGGAGCAAACGGG